CUUGCUUCAGCAGCAUACACUAAAAUUGGAAUGAAACAGAGAAGAUUAGAAUAGCCCCCGUGCAAAGAUGGCAUGCAAAUUUGUGAAGCAUUCUGUGUAUAU